UUCAGAAGGUCUUCGGGAUGGAAGGAUAAGAACUUAGUGGCGGACGGGUGAGUAACGCGUGGGUAACCUGCCCUUUUGUGGGGAACAACUUCGAGAAAUCGGAGCUAAUACCGCAUAAUAAUAGAGGAUCGCAUGAUUCUUUAAGGAAAGAUGGCCUCUGAAGAUGCUAUCGCAAAAGGAUGGACCCGCGUCUGAUUAGCUAGUUGGAAGGGUAACGGCCUACCAAGGCAACGAUCAGUAGCCGGCCUGAGAGGGUGAACGGCCACAUUGGGACUGAGACACGGCCCAAACUCCUACGGGAGGCAGCAGUGGGGAAUCUUCCGCAAUGGGCGAAAGCCUGACGGAGCAAUGCCGCGUGAGUGAAGAAGGCCUUCGGGUUGUAAAACUCUGUCCUUAUCGAAGAGAGGUAGGUAUGUGAAUAAUGUACCUAUAGGACGGUAGAUAAGGAGGAAGCCCCGGCUAACUACGUGCCAGCAGCCGCGGUAAUACGUAGGGGGCGAGCGUUGUCCGGAAUCACUGGGCGUAAAGGGCGCGUAGGCGGUUUAAUAAGUCAGUGGUGAAAACUGAGGGCUCAACUCUCAGCCUGCCACUGAUACUGUUAGACUUGAGUAUGGAAGAGGAGAAUGGAAUUCCUAGUGUAGCGGUGAAAUGCGUAGAUAUUAGGAGGAACACCAGUGGCGAAGGCGAUUCUCUGGGCCAAGACUGACGCUGAGGCGCGAAAGCGUGGGGAGCAAACAGGAUUAGAUACCCUGGUAGUCCACGCCGUAAACGAUGGAUACUAGGUGUUAGUAGUUUCGAUGCUACUAGUGC
rnacentral:rRNA from 1 species